rnacentral:rRNA from 1 species
AUUGAACGCUGGCGGCAUGCCUUACACAUGCAAGUCGAACGGCAGCACGGGUGCUUGCACCUGGUGGCGAGUGGCGAACGGGUGAGUAAUAUAUCGGAACGUACCUUAUUGUGGGGGAUAACGCAGCGAAAGCUGUGCUAAUACCGCAUAAUCCCUAAGGGGGAAAGCGGGGGACCGUAAGGCCUCGCGCAAUUAGAGCGGCCGAUACCUGAUUAGCUAGUUGGGGAGGUAAAGGCUCACUAAGGCAACGAUCAGUAGCUGGGCUGAGAGGGCGAUCAGCCACACUGGGGCUGAGACGCGGCCCAGAAGCCGGCGGGAGGCAGCAGUGGGGAAUUUUUGACAAUGGGGGCAACCCUGAUCCAGCAAUGCCGCGUGAGUGAAGAAGGCACUCGUGUUGUAAAGCUCUUUUGUCAGGGAAGAAACAGCAGCUCUAACACAGUUUGCGAAUGACGGUACCUGAAGAAUAAGCACCGGCUAACUACGUGCCAGCCGCCGCCGUAA